AUUGAACGCUGGCGGCAGGCCUAACACAUGCAAGUCGAACGAGUGGCGGACGGGUGAGUAAUGUCUGGGAAACUGCCCGAUGGAGGGGGAUAACUACUGGAAACGGUAGCUAAUACCGCAUCCCAUCAGAUGUGCCCAGAUGGGCUUAGCUAGUAGGUGGGGUAACGGCUCACAGAGGCGACGAUCCCUCGCUGGUCUGAGAGGAUGACCGUCCACACUGGAACUGAGACACGGUCCAGACUCCUACGGAGGGCAGCAGUGGGGAAUAUUGCACAAUGGGCGAAAGCCUGAUGCAGCCAUGCCGCGUGUAUGAAGAAGGCCUUCGUGUUGUAAAGUACUUUCAGCGAGGAGGCGUUACUCGCAGAAGAAGCACCGGCUAACUCCGUGCCAGCAGCCGCGGUAAUAC
rnacentral:rRNA from 1 species